UACGAAGGGGGCUAGCGUUGCUCGGAAUCACUGGGCGUAAAGGGUGCGUAGGCGGGUCUUUAAGUCAGAGGUGAAAUCCUGGAGCUCAACUCCAGAACUGCCUUUGAUACUGAGGAUCUUGAGUACGGGAGAGGUGAGUGGAACUGCGAGUAUAGAGGUGAAAUUCGUAGAUAUUCGCAAGAACACCAGUGGCGAAGGCGGCUCACUGGCCCGUAACUGACGCUGAGGCACGAAAGCGUGGGGAGCAAACAGG
rnacentral:rRNA from 1 species